rnacentral:rRNA from 1 species
AGUGAACGCUGGCGGUAGGCCUAACACAUGCAAGUCGAACGGCAGCACAGUAAGAGCUUGCUCUUACGGGUGGCGAGUGGCGGACGGGUGAGGAAUACAUCGGAAUCUACUUUUUCGUGGGGGAUACGGAGGGAAACUUACGCUAAUACCGCAUACGACCUACGGGUGAAAGCAGGGGAUCUUCGGACCUUGGGCGAUUGAAUGAGCCGAUGUCGGAUUAGCUAGUUGGCGGGGUAAAGGCCCACCAAGGCGACGAUCCGUAGCUGGUCUGAGAGGAUGAUCAGCCGCACUGGAACUGAGACACGGUCCAGACUCCUACGGGAGGCAGCAGUGGGGAAUAUUGGACAAUGGGCGCAAGCCUGAUCCAGCCAUACCGCGUGGGUGAAGAAGGCCUUCGGGUUGUAAAGCCCUUUUGUUGGGAAAGAAAAGCAGCAGGUUAAUACCCCGCUGUUCUGACGGUACCCAAAGAAUAAGCACCGGCUAACUUCGUG